CCUACGGGAGGCAGCAGUGAGGAAUAUUGGUCAAUGGGCGGGAGCCUGAACCAGCCAAGUCGCGUGAGGGACGACGGUCCUAUGGAUUGUAAACCUCUUUUGUCGGGGAACAAAGGCGACCACGGGUGGGCGGAUGAGUGUACCCGAAGAAAAAGCAUCGGCUAACUCCGUGCCAGCAGCCGCGGUAAUACGGAGGAUGCGAGCGUUAUCCGGAUUUAUUGGGUGUAAAGGGCGUGUAGGCGGGCAUGCAAGCCAGAAGUGAAAUCUGGGGGCUUAACCCCCAAACUGCUUUUGGAACUGCGUGUCUUGAGUGAUGGAGAGGCAGGCGGAAUUCCCAGGGUAGCGGUGAAAUGCGUAGAUAUUGGGAGGAACACCAGUGGCGAAGGCGGCCUGAUGGACAUUAACUGACGCUGAGGCGCGAAAGCAUGGGGAGCAAACAGGAUUAGAUACCCUAGUAGUC
rnacentral:rRNA from 1 species